AUUGAACGCUGGCGGCAGGCCUAACACAUGCAAGUCGAGCGAGCGGCGGACGGGUGAGUAAUGUCUGGGAAACUGCCUGAUGGAGGGGGAUAACUACUGGAAACGGUAGCUAAUACCGCAUACCCUAGGAUGUGCCCAGAUGGGAUUAGCUAGGAGGUGGGGUAACGGCUCACCUAGGCGACGCUCCCUAGCUGGUCUGAGAGGAGGACCAGCAAAACGGGAACUGAGAAACGGUCCAGACUCCGACGGGAGGCAGCAGUGGGGAAUAUUGCACAAUGGGCGCAAGCCUGAGGCAGCCAUGCCGAGUGUGUGAAGAAGGCCUUCGGGUUGUAAAGCACUUUCAGCGGGGAGGCGUUACCCGCAGAAGAAGCACCGGCUAACUCCGUGCCAGCAGCCGCGGUAAUUC
rnacentral:rRNA from 1 species